UCCAGGUAAAAGAUAAUAUUAUCAGCAGGAGCUGCCAAAGUUGUACUGUAGUUUUUUCCUUGCAGUCCUUUUCCUUUUGUAACCUUAGCGCCAGAUCCCUUGGCAGAUUAAUUCUCAGGGAUGGCAUCACUGUGACUCACUUAAUUAUCUUGUGAAGUUGCAUCUUUAGAUAUAUAUUUUCGGAAGAUGGUUGUGCUGCUGCAUCUUUAGAUAUAUAUUUUCGGAAGAUGGUUGUGCUGCUGCUGUUAUGGAGCCAAAUAUGGGCGCAAAUUGUCUCUCUGUUCAGCAUGUAUUCCAGCCGUCAAAUGGCCUCUUGCUGUCUGUAUACCUGCUUUUUGGUUGCCACAGGUAUUGUGGCAGAGGGCUUUAUUGUCGCAAGGGGGAGCCUCGCAUGGAUCUUGUGUUUAUCUAUUCUCCCAUCAUUCUGCUGCUAUGGAUGGACAAACAUAUGGUCUGGUAGAGGCCCACUGGGACAUAAAGACUGUUAGUUGUACAUCUCUGUCUGUCAAGGUGAUGAGGCCAUCUGAAUCUGCUGCGUUGUCCCUAUGCCGGUUAUAGCAGAGACAUGUGAUGGACAUGUGAUCGGAGGGAUACGUGGCUGCUCAGGGAGGCCAAGCAUCUUUGCCCAUGUAUAUCUCGGCCUCAUUCAAUGUUGUCAAUGGAUAAUCAUCCCGUCGGCCGGGCUAAGAUUCUGGCCAGAUCCGGUUCAAACAUGCUAAAGGUUAAAUAUUAUCUAAGAGAGCAUUCACAAUUAACCUACUGGCACGUACUGGUACGAUAUUAUCAUAAUUAUGCAGGACCCCAAGAUAGUUGAUCACUGAUGC